UUCCUUCCUUUUGCAGAUAACCACCCCUCUGAGUACAACAAUGAGAUCCUUGUCAUCCCUCUCUUUCCUUCCUCAUUUCCUUCCUUUAGCCCGCCUGUCCCCUCCCCCAACCUCCUUCCUUUCCUUACUCCUAUAACCUCUUUGUAACUCCCACCACCUUUCUCUUCUUCCUCCGCCCUCUCCUUCUCUCUCACCCUCUCUCCAAUUCUCUCUCUCCACCUUCCCUUCCUUAUGUUUACUACCUUUCCAAAGGUUUCAUUGGGCUUACGGUGUCAUGCACGGUUGUCUUGGUAACCCAGCUGUGAGUGACCAACACCUCCUGGCCGGUCGUCGGGAGCAGCGGAGGGAAAAAACAGCAGCUGGAUUCACCAUCGGGAGCCAACCCGACUAAGCGCUGCGGAGAAGCAGCGGCGCUCUCGCGUUCGACGCGAUGCCGUGCCCAGAGAGGAGAGAGAGAUACUUCAAAAAGGAACAGCAGAAAUACUGGGAGGACAUAGCAUCAGGCAGGAAGUGGAGAGAGACUUACGACAGGAUCAAGUCCAGGAAAGUAGCCCUAAAGCACUUCACCACACCUCCAGAGAGCCCCCGGCUUUCACCAGACAGAGCUGAUAAUCCAGAGCCAAGCACUUCCGGGUCAGGAUGAGAGUUAAGCUCUAGUGCCAAACUAGAGACUUUCUAAGAAAAGAGGAAGAUGGAGAACCCAUACUGUGCAGAGGCAGGAGCCAGACACACAUGCUGCAGGGGGAGGAGCGAUACUCACACCUUCUCUCUCUUUCCCUCUCUCCACCGCCCACCCCACCCCGCACACACAAGCACGCACUCACAUACAUGCACACACACUCAUGGAAAAGCACGCACACACACUCAUGCAAAAGCACGCACACACACUCAAUGCGAAAGCACUCACACACACUCAAGCAAAAGCAUGCACACACAAUUGUUACUGCUUUUAUAUUGUUAUUUAGACUAAGAUCUUUUUUUUUGCCAAAUAUAAUGACCUCUGUUUUAUCUUUGUUUAAUUUAAGGAAAUUCUGUGACAUCCAGUUAUUCUCACACACACCAGCACUCAUUCCUGUUACUCAGUGCUCAUUCCUGUUACUCAGUGCUCAUUCCUGUUACUCAGUGCUCAUUCCUGUUACUCAGUGCUCAUUCCUGUUACUCAGUGCUCAUUCCUGUUACUCAGCGCUCAUUCCUGUUACUCAGUGCUCAUUCCUGUUACUCAGUGCUCAUUCCUGUUACUCAGUGCUCAUUCCUGUUACUCAGCACUCAUUCCUGUUACUCAGCGCUCAUUCCUGUUACUCA
ensembl:lncRNA